UGACCUUCUGGUCUAUCUGAAAGUAUCUUAGCCAUUAGCCUGGUGUAAGCAUUCACUGCAAGUUUUGAUAUUGAAUAGUCAGUUAAUGUUUGAGGCCAUCCACCAGAUAAAGAAUUUUAGAAUAUUUCCAACUCAGAAAAUGGCCAAUUUUGACUAGAAAAUACUCUUCACAAUAUAAAUUCAUAUUACCAGAAUGGUUUUGAUCCAAAAUGAAAUUAUCUAAAAAGAAGUUUUUCC
rnacentral:lncRNA from 1 species